rnacentral:misc_RNA from 1 species
GUGAGUCAUCGAAUCUUUGAACGCACAUUGCGCCCCUUGGUAUUCCGGGGGGCAUGCCUGUCCGAGCGUCAUUACGUCCAUCAAGCCUUGGCUUGGUCUUGGGCCCUCGCCAUCCUGGGCGAGCCCGAAAGUCAGUGGCGGUCCCUCCUGGACUCAGGCGUCGUGAAUGAUCACGCCUUGGAGCAAGGGAGUGAGACCUGCCAACCCACCCCAAUCACAACAAUGUGGACCUCGGAUCAGGUAGGGAUACCCGCUGAACUUAAGCAUAUCAAUAAGCGGAGGA